AUUGAUUACAAUUCGUUCUAACUUUUCAUCACAGGUUCUAUGACCAGAAACUAGAAUCGAAAGGGGUCAAUGAUAUUGCAACAAAAUAUUUUUCAGAAAUUGAGAACACCCGUAAUGGAUUCUUCAGGAUACAUGAAACCAGAGUGUAUAGCAUGAUACUUCAAAACAUGUAUGCGUCGUCCGAUGGAAAUAAUUGUAUUAAUUGAAAAUCACCAUAUAUGCAUAGAGGAAAGAAAGUUCUACAACCAGUAACUGCAAUCGAAAGCGGUCAGUGCCGUUGCAACAAAAUAUUUCUCAGAAAUAGUCAACACUAGUAAUGGAGUCUUCA